AAUAGAUACCCGGGUAGUCCACGCCGUAAACGAUGAGUGCUAAGUGUUAGAGGGUUUCCGCCCUUUAGUGCUGCAGCUAACGCAUUAAGCACUCCGCCUGGGGAGUACGGCCGCAAGGCUGAAACUCAAAGGAAUUGACGGGGGGCCCGCACAAGCGGUGGAGCAUGUGGUUUAAUUCGAAGCAACGCGAAGAACCUUACCAGGUCUUGACAUCCUCUGCCAACCCUAGAGAUAGGGCGUUCCCCUUCGGGGGACAGAGUGACAGGUGGUGCAUGGUUGUCGUCAGCUCGUGUCGUGAGAUGUUGGGUUAAGUCCCGCAACGAGCGCAACCCUUGAUCUUAGUUGCCAGCAUUUAGUUGGGCACUCUAAGGUGACUGCCGGUGACAAACCGGAGGAAGGUGGGGAUGACGUCAAAUCAUCAUGCCCCUUAUGACCUGGGCUACACACGUGCUACAAUGGAUGGUACAAAGAGCUGCGAACCCGCGAGGGUAAGCCAAUCUCAUAAAGCCAUUCUCAGUUCGGA
rnacentral:rRNA from 1 species